rnacentral:misc_RNA from 1 species
GAUGAAGAACGUAGUGAAAUGCGAUAAUUAAUGUGAAUUGCAGAAUUCAGUGAAUCAUCGAGUCUUUGAACGCACAUUGCGCCCCCUGGUAUUCCGGGGGGCAUGCCUGUCCGAGCGUCAUUGCUGCCCUCAAGCACGGCUUGUGUGUUGGGCUUCCGUCCCUGGCAACGGGGACGGGCCCAAAAGGCAGUGGCGGCACCAUGUCUGGUCCUCGAGCGUAUGGGGCUUUGUCACCCGCUCCCGUAGGUCCAGCUGGCAGCUAGCCUCGCAACCAAUCUUUUUAACCAGGUUGACCUCGGAUCAGGUAGGGAUACCCGCUGAACUUAAGCAUAUCAUAGCGGAGGA